AGCGCAGGCGGGAUAGCAAGUCAGCUGUGAAAACUAUGGGCUCAACCCAUAAACUGCAGUUGAAACUGUUAUUCUUGAGUGGAGUAGAGGCAAGCGGAAUUCCGAGUGUAGCGGUGAAAUGCGUAGAUAUUCGGAGGAACACCAGUGGCGAAGGCGGCUUGCUGGGCUCUAACUGACGCUGAGGACUCGAAAGGUGUGGGAAGCAAACA
rnacentral:rRNA from 1 species